GCAGAAGGAUCAUUAGUGAAGAUUUGGGCAGGCCAUACGGACGCCAAAAAAGUGUCCCUGGCCGCCUACACCCACUAUACAUCCACAAACCCGUGUGCACUGUCUUGGAGAAAGGCUUCUUGAGAAGUUAUGUGACCUCUCUUGGAGGUCUUUCUUCGCUACAAACUCGAAUGGUUAGUAUGAACGUGGAACUUGGUUGGACCGUCACUGGCCAACAAACUAUACACAACUUUCGACAACGGAUCUCUUGGUUCUCCCA
rnacentral:misc_RNA from 1 species